rnacentral:lncRNA from 1 species
UUUGAUCAUUUGAAUUCAAAUCUUGCCAAAACACUUCCCAUAAUGAAGCCAUGCGCAAGUCCUUCAAUUUUGAUCCAAAUGAUAUGAUCUUGGACUUUUUGGAAAGGUGAGAUCAAGAGAAACAACUUUCAUGUUGAACACGUUUUCAUUUGAAGCUUAUAUCAUGAUGAAAUUUGAGGUGGAAGUUUUGGAAUUCAAACAUAUUUGAAAAUUUUCUACGUCCCAAGUCAAAUGUUCACUUCUUCCACCUU